rnacentral:rRNA from 1 species
CCUACGGGGAGCAGCAGUCGAGAAUCAUUCACAAUGGGGGAAACCCUGAUGGUGCGACGCCGCGUGGGGGAAUGAAGGUCUUCGGAUUGUAAACCCCUGUCAUGUGGGAGCAAAUUAAAAAGAUAGUACCACAAGAGGAAGAGACGGCUAACUCUGUGCCAGCAGCCGCGGUAAUACAGAGGUCUCAAGCGUUGUUCGGAAUCACUGGGCGUAAAGCGUGCGUAGGCUGUUUCGUAAGUCGUGUGUGAAAGGCGCGGGCUCAACCCGCGGACGGCACAUGAUACUGCGAGACUAGAGUAAGGGAGGGGGAACCGGAAUUCUCGGUGUAGCAGUGAAAUGCGUAGAUAUCGAGAGGAACACUCGUGGCGAAGGCGGGUUCCUGGACAUUAACUGACGCUGAGGCACGAAGGCCAGGGGAGCGAAAGGGAUUAGAUACCCGGGUAGUC